rnacentral:misc_RNA from 1 species
CAACCUGAUGGCUAUGAGCAAACUUUUGCGGAGAUGCCAAAGGAAGAAAAGAACAAGAUUUCUCAUCGCUACAAGGCUCUUUUAUUGGUGAAAGCCCAUUUUACUGAUUCUGGGUAUGCGUUUGAGAUUGAUGACUCUAAGAAGAAUGAGCAAAAUUUAUCUGACAAGAUUAAGAAUGAUUCUUCUGUGGAGAAUGAGAAAGAUGUCUCUACCCCUAACAAGAGGAAAAGGGAGGAGGAUGAUGGAGUUGCAGAAGGGACAGAAAAGGAAGAAGUAUCUGGAAAAAAGGCUAAGGUGGAAGAGAAGUAGCUCUUCUUCUGGGAUGUAGUCACUGAGGAUCUUGGGAUAAGUUUUACUACUUUUUGGUUGUGUAGUCAAAUACAGUAUUUUAUCUAGUAAAAAAUGUUGGAGAUUUCAGUGUCUCCUUGUGGAGUCAAAAUUAUGUCAUUUUAAAGAUGUAAAAGCUAUGAGUUUUGGAGCGGUAGAAUUACUCUUGUAGUCAAUGUGAAACUUGGGGAAGAUCCUAUACCUGCUAUUAGUUUUUAGUAAAUAUGUUUCUUCU